GACGAACGCUGGCGGCGUGCUUAAUACAUGCAAGUCGAACGAUGAAGCUAGAGCUUGCUCUGGUGGAUUAGUGGCGAACGGGUGAGUAACACGUGAGUAACCUGCCCCGAACUCUGGGAUAACUGCGGGAAACUGUAGCUAAUACCGGAUACGACCCUCGGAGGCAUCUCCUGGGGGUGGAAAGAAUUUCGGUCAAGGAUGGACUCGCGGCCUAUCAGCUAGUUGGUGAGGUAAAGGCUCACCAAGGCGACGACGGGUAGCCGGCCUGAGAGGGUGACCGGCCACACUGGGACUGAGACACGGCCCAGACUCCUACGGGAGGCAGCAGUGGGGAAUAUUGCACAAUGGGCGCAAGCCUGAUGCAGUAACGCCGCGUGAGGGAUGACGGCCUUCGGGUUGUAAACCUCUUUUAGCAGGGAAGAAGCGAGAGUGACGGUACCUGCAGAAAAAGCACCGGCUAACUACGUGCCAGCAGCCGCCGCAG
rnacentral:rRNA from 1 species